CGCAAUGGGCGAAAGCCUGACGGAGCGACGCCGCGUGGUUGAUGAAGUACUUAGGUAUGUAAAAACCUUUUAUGAGGGAAAAAGUUUAUUGAUUGUACCUCAUGAAUAAGGGGUUGCUAAACUCGUGCCAGCAGCAGCGGUAAUACGAGUGCCCCAAGCGUUAUCCGGAAUUAUUGGGCGUAAAGGGUGAGUAGGUGGUUGUAUUAGUCUUGUGUUAAAGCUCCCGGCUCAACCGGGAAAGUGCAUAAGAAACGGUACAACUAGAGUAUGUGAGAGGUACGUAGAACUCAUGGAGUAGGGGUGAAAUCCGUUGAUAUCAUGGGGAAUACCAAAAGCGUAGGCAGCGUACUGGCACAUUACUGUCUCUUAAUCACGAAAGCGU
rnacentral:rRNA from 1 species